GUGUGUGUGUGUGUGUGUGUGUGUGUGUGUGUGUGUGUGUGUCUGUAAGACGAAGAAGUCUUUCACAAUUUGACAGACCCUGAAGAAGGGAGGUACGUAGAAGGAGUGACAGAAAGCAGGAAGAGAGUCAAUAGAAGGUUUACACAAGCUGGGAUAUUUAUGCAGCACGGUAUCCUGUGGUACAACGAAGAGAAAGAAGCAAAUAAACGACAAUGGAUUGCAAACUUUGAAAGACAACAACAGAUACUGCAGUCAAUCCAUGAUGACACUCUAGGCGGCUGUCAACUUGGAAGAGACAAGACUCGCGAAAAAAAGAUAUUUUUGGCAUGGUGUGGGAGAGGACGUGGAUUGCACAUCAAAACACGUGCAACGUGUCAAAAGACAAAUAUGAAAUUUAAGAAGACGUUGUCAGAACUCAAACCAAUCAAAGUGCUAAGACCAUGGCAUAGAAUUGGGAUUGACCUUGUUGGUUCACUGCCUGUUAGUGCUUUUGGUCACAAGUAUAUUAUGACUUGCAUUGUCUACUACACCAAAUGAGCAGAGGCUGGUGCUCUGUGUACUAAAUCUGCAUCUGGAGUAACUCAAUUUCUUACUACAUUGUUCUGUCGGCACGUACUGUUUGUUCACAUAAUGUCUGACCAAGGAAGAGAGUUUGUAAACAGUCUGAAUGGAAUGUUGUUCAAGCUGACUCGAGUGAAUCACAUUAUAUCUGCAGCCUAUCAUCCACAAACAAAUGGCCUUGUUGAAGAGUUCAAUAAAACCCUUCAGAGGUCACUUCUAAAAAUUGUUAGAUCGAAUCAAGGCGACUGGUGCAAGUAUUUGGAACAAGUUGUUUUUGCCUACAAUACGAGUAAACAAGCCUAACUAAGCACUCUCCAUUCUUUUGCUCUAUGGUCGAGAGCCAAGACUUCCAGUUCAUUUACUUACAGAGACAAAAGUCGUGAAAUACAUACUGCCAUACAAACUGACAGUAAGGAGGAAGUAGAGUCACAGUCGGAAAAGGAGUUAUAUACAAAGAGACCUAAAGUGUACACUCUUUAUUUUUAUACACAAAUCUCAAUAAAGUGUUCUUGCAGCUAUUAAUUGCACAACCAAGGAAAUAGAGACAACACUGAAAAAAUUGGAGUCAACAUGUGUCAUACAGACAUUGUUGGACGUGUGCCCAUCGAGGAGAGCACAAGACAGUGGCGGCACUUCACUAUUGGAGCAAAGUUUUCAUGGCCUAUUAUUAAAAAAGUACUAAAUUAUUUUUGAAAACGGUACUUUUCAAAACCUUGCAAUGCAAGGUACAUGGACCCAAAAGACAUUGACAAUUUCGAUAAAUUUAUGGGGAACCAGGAGACUAGAUUUAUUGUGUCAAAUCAAGACUUGCUGCCUAGAAAGUCUUGGCCUACAAUCAUUUAGGCACUUGUGCGACAGAUGACAUGGCAGCCAAGUUGAAACCGAUUCAUCCCUACAAUCAAUCAUGACAGACAAUGCUUUGUGCGAUAGACUGAGAAGUGUGUGAGUCAAUGUAGCUAUGGUGCUGAAGUAAAUACUACAAUAAAAAGAUGUGA